rnacentral:rRNA from 1 species
GACGAACGCUGGCGGCGUGCUUAACACAUGCAAGUCGAACGAUGAACCGGAGCUUGCUCUGGGGAUUAGUGGCGAACGGGUGAGUAACACGUGGGCAACCUGCCCCAGACACCGGGAUAACCAUUGGAAACGAUGGCUAAUACAGGCUACGACCACUUCGGGAAUCCGAUGCUGGUGGAAAGGAUUAUGGUCUGGGAUGGGCCCGCGGCCUAUCAGCUUGUUGGUGGGGUAAUGGCCAACCAAGGCGACGGCGGGUCGCCGGCCUGAAAGGGCGGCCGGCCACACUAGGACUGAGACACGGCCCAGACUCCUACGGGAAGCAGCAGUGGUGAAUAUUGCGCAAUGGGCGAAAGCCUGACGCAGCGACGCCGCGUGAGGGACGAAGGUCUUCGGAUUGUAAACCUCUGUCAGCAGGGAUGAAGCGAAAGUGACAGUACCUGCAGAAGAAGCACCGGCUAACUACGUGCCAGCCGCCGCCGUAAAAC